rnacentral:rRNA from 1 species
GUCCACGCUGUAAACGAUGGAUGCUAGCUGUGAAUCGUAUCGACCCGAUUCGUAGCGAAGCUAACGCGUUAAGCAUCCCGCCUGUGGAGUACGGCCGCAAGGCUAAAACAUAAAGGAAUUGACGGGGACCCGCACAAGCGGUGGAGCGUGUUGUUUAAUUCGAUGGUAAGCGAAGAACCUUACCCAGGCUUGACUUCCUGCGAAUUUCUGCGAAAGCAGAAAGUGCUUUAUUGAGCGCAGUGACAGGUGUUGCAUGGCCGUCGU